UAAGGAAUAUUGGUCAAUGGAGGCAACUCUGAACCAGCCAUGCCGCGUGCAGGAUGACGGCCCUAUGGGUUGUAAACUGCUUUUGUACCAGAGAAAACCUAUCUACGUGUAGAUAGCUGAUAGUAUGGUAAGAAUAAGCAUCGGCUAACUUCGUGCCAGCAGCCGCGGUAAGACGAAGGAUGCAAGCGUUAUCCGGAUUCAUUGGGUUUAAAGGGUGCGUAGGCGGACUUGUAAGUCAGUGGUGAAAUCUCUUUGCUUAACAAAGAAACUGCCAUUGAUACUGCAGGUCUAGAGUAUAGAUGACGUUGGCGGAAUAUGACAUGUAGUGGUGAAAUACUUAGAUAUGUCAUAGAACACCGAUUGCGAAGGCAGCUAACGAAACUAUAACUGACGCUGAGGCACGAAAGUGCGGGGAUCAAACA
rnacentral:rRNA from 1 species